rnacentral:lncRNA from 1 species
CUGGUUUCCGCCGAGGCCAGUUGUCCUCUGGUCAGGCCCUGCCAGGAUGGAGACCCUUCCCUGGCUGGGCCUUCAGCGUGGGAGACCAGGAGGCAGAGGCCAGGGACCUUCUGUGCCCAGAUCCAGACCUGAAGUCCCACAGAUAGCGAUGGCCGAGGAGUUCUUUCCCCAGCGUUGAUGGGGGAAGCAGCAGAGUGGCCCCCAGUUCGCGUGACGCUGCCUGUCCCAGCCUCCCGUCCCAGCCUGCUCUCUUCUCAUUGAGG